rnacentral:rRNA from 2 species
UGGGGAAUAUUGCACAAUGGGCGCAAGCCUGAUGCAGCCAUGCCGCGUGUGUGAAGAAGGCCUUCGGGUUGUAAAGCACUUUCAGCGGGGAGGAAGGCGGUGAGGUUAAUAACCUCAUCGAUUGACGUUACCCGCAGAAGAAGCACCGGCUAACUCCGUGCCAGCAGCCGCGGUAAUACGGAGGGUGCAAGCGUUAAUCGGAAUUACUGGGCGUAAAGCGCACGCAGGCGGUCUGUCAAGUCGGAUGUGAAAUCCCCGGGCUCAACCUGGGAACUGCAUUCGAAACUGGCAGGCUAGAGUCUUGUAGAGGGGGGUAGAAUUCCAGGUGUAGCGGUGAAAUGCGUAGAGAUCUGGAGGAAUACCGGUGGCGAAGGCGGCCCCCUGGACAAAGACUGACGCUCAGGUGCGAAAGCGUGGGGAGCAAACA